ensembl:lncRNA
AUCUUGCUGGAGGUCUCUGCUGACCUGAAGCCUUCUAAGUCUUGGCUACCCAUUAGAUGUGUGCGCCCUUAGAGAAAAGAUAAUGAUUGCAACUAACUGUUAUAGAGAGGGAGAAUGGAAGAGAGAGGGAAAUCAGGGCUCCUCUGAAGUCUUUCUCCCCCUCAGACUUUUCCAGGGACUACCAAAGUGCCUGCUGGUCAGUGGGCAUCCAGAUCUAUUCUGUGCUGCAAGGAGCAGUUUGGAUAAGGAGGUCAUGAGAAAUUAUCUGAAAAGCUGUCUCGCUAGAAUUACACCAACUAUCGCCUCAUCAACAUUCACUACCUCUACUGUAGCACGAAGGAGAAAAACACCAACAGAAGAUGUAAAGGAGAAGAGAGAAGUCAGAGGAAUAACGUUUCUGAAGCGGACCUAAGCGGAGGAAAAGCCUUCCUUCACCUGCUGCUCCUGGCUGAGGAGGAGGAAAGUCCUGAAGUGCUUUUUGCUCCAGCCUAUGCAUCAGCCCAUCUACUGAUUUUAGCAUAUUUUGCAAAGUCCUGAAGGGCAAUCCCCUAUAAAGUAAGGAUGUAGGCAAUUAAUAAGCAACCUUUCCCUGGUCCGUUUUGCAGCAGAACUUAUCUUGCCCCAGCAGUUUACUGCCUCAGUCUGUGGGAAUUUGGGCCACUGAAUAAUUCACAGUGGAAUAUGAAUACCUCAACUGGAAUGAAAUGACACUGGGUCUGGGCUGCAGAAUGCUGCACUUCAGCCUUGCAUGGAUAUUAGAGACCAUGCUUAACUGGCACAGUACAUUUUAUAGAAUAGGAGUUUUGGAAGGUAAGAGGUAAAAAUAAAAAUAAUCAGUUUCCAUAUUCUUGACAUGUUGCUACUGAUGGAUGCAGGCUUGGUCUUUUUCCCCUGUCCCAACAUAAAUACAUUUAGAGCUGGGCAUGUAAGCACUUCAGCCUGUAGAAGCAAAACAGCCAAGUUUGCUCAGGAAGAUCACCAAUAGGUGAUGUGUAUUCAUUGCUGUGCCAUCUGAUGCAAGCCCAGCUGGAGCCCCUCCAUGUGCUUUGGAAGAGACCCAGAUCUUCACUCAGUCCAUGUUCAGUAUGUGAGCCAAGGCUUACCAGGAUGGCAUCUGAAGCAGCCUUAGGAAGGAGAUUAUGAAAGUGCAUUGCUGUUGCAGCCAGAACGCGAACAUGCACGUGUGAGCACGUGUACUCGUGAACAAAGAGGAGGUGGGAUUGUGGAUAAACUGUAGGCAAUG